AUUGAACGCUGGCGGCAGGCUUAACACAUGCAAGUCGAGCGAGCGGCGGACGGGUGAGUAAUGUCUGGGACACUGCCUGAUGGAGGGGGAUAACUACUGGAACCGGUAGCUAAUACCGCAUAGCAUCAGCUUUGCCCAGAUGGGAUUAGCUAGUAGGUGGGGUAAUGGCUCACCAAGGACACGAUCCCUAGCUGGUCUGAGAGGAUGACCAGCCACACUGGAACUGAGACACGGUCCAGACUCCUACGGGAGGCAGCAGUAGGGAAUCUUGCGCAAUGGGCGAAAGCCUGAUGCAGCAAUGCCGCGUGUGUGAAGAAGGCCUUCGGGUUGUAAAGCACUUUCAGCGAGGAGGCGUUACUCGCAGAGGAAGCCACGGCUAACUCCGUGCCAGCAGCCGCGGUAAUUC
rnacentral:rRNA from 1 species